CCCUUAGAUGUUCUGGGCCGCACACGCGCUACACUGAAGGAGGCAGCGUGUACUCCUGGAUCGAAAGAUUUGGGUAACCCGCGAAUCUCCUUCGUGCUAGGGAUUGAGGUUUGCAAUUAUCCUUCAUGAACGAGGAAUUCCCAGUAAGUGCAAGUCAUAAGCUUGCGCUGACUACGUCCCUGCCCUUUGUACACACCGCCCGUCGCUACUACCGAUUGAAUGAUUUAGUGAGGACUUCGGACUGGGACCGAUGCGGCUUUCGGGCUGCGUCGGUAUUCUGGAAAGAUUUCCAAACUGUAUCAUUUAGAGGAAGUAAAAGUCGUAACA
rnacentral:rRNA from 1 species